rnacentral:tRNA from 1 species
AUCCCUUAAGUAUAAAUAAUAAGUACAGUUACCUUCCAAGUAAAAAGAUUAAGAAAACUUAAAAGAGAUA